CUAGCAUAUCAAUAAGCGGAGGAAAAGAAACUAACAAGGAUUCCCCUAGUAACUGCGAGUGAAGCGGGAAAAGCUCAAAUUUAAAAUCUGACGGCAUUGGUCGUCCGAAUUGUAAUCUGGAGAAGCAUUUUCUGUGUCGGACCGUGCACAAGUUUCCUAGAACGGAAUGUCAUAGAGGGUGAGAACCCCGUCCAUGGCACGGAUCACCGAUGCGUUGUGAUAUGCUCUCGAAGAGUCGAGUUGUUUGGGAAUGCAGCUCAAAAUGGGUGGUAAAUUCCAUCUAAAGCUAAAUAUUGGCGAGAGACCGAUAGCGAACAAGUACCGUGAGGGAAAGAUGAAAAGCACCUUGGAAAGAUUGUUAAACAGUACGUGAAAUUGUUGAAAGGGAAACGCUUGGAGUCAGUCGCGUUGGUCGGGAUUCAGUCGCUCUUACCGGAGUGGAUUACUUCCCGAUGGACGGGUCAACAUCGAUUUCGAACGGUGGAUAAAGGGGAGGGAAAGGUGGCACCUUGCGCGGGUGUGUUAUAGUCCCUCUUUCGCAUACACCGGCCGGGAUCGAGGAUCGCAGCACGCCUUCAAUGGCCGGGGGUUCGCCUCACGUAACGUGCUUAGGAUGUUGGCAUAAUGGCUUUAAGCGACCCGUCUUGAAACACGGACCAAGGAGUCUAACAUGCUCGCGAGUGUUAGGGUGGAAAACCCUUGCGCGUAAUGAAAGUGAAAGUUGGGACCUUCGUCAUGGAGGGCACCGACGCCCGGCCCUGAGCUCUUGUGACGGUGCUGCGGUAGAGCGCGUAUGUUGGGACCCGAAAGAUGGUGAACUAUGCCUGAAUAGGGCGAAGCCAGAGGAAACUCUGGUGGAGGCUCGUAGCGAUUCUGACGUGCAAAUCGAUCGUCAAAUUUG
rnacentral:rRNA from 1 species